UAAAUAAAUAAAUAAAAAAGCCAUACCAAAAAAUUAUUUUCAAACGAGCCCUUACUAGCAAUGCUAGGUAUCAUGAAAAAUAUUUCAGGAAAAUGAUCAAGAAAUAUUUUUAACCUUUAGAUUAGAUAUACAAUAAGUUACAAAGUGUAAUACAAGGAUGGAGAUUUGUUCAUAAUCAUUUUCAUGAAGCAUUUUUCAUGAUGCCUAGCAUUUUCCUACAAGUUAACAGGUUGCAUUUCACAGUGCAGAGGUGGCCAUGAAGAGGAGACACAUGCCCUACUUGCUAUCUCUGCUAAUGAAACACAUAACAAGCCGCGAAGCCAUCCGACAAAUCCACGCUCAAUUGAUCUUCAAUGGCAUUCACUCUACUGGAACGUCUAUGACAAUAUGGAAUUACCUAUUCCGACACUACUCUCUCGGUUCCUCCCCCAAAGAAGCUGUCCUACUCUUCAAGAACCUCCAACUUCUACACCUACCCAUCAUCUCCUUCGACAACUAUUCCUACUCUUUUCUCAUCAAGGCUUGCACCAAUUUGGAACAACCCACUUUGGGUACUCAGGUCCAUGGCCUCACUGUCAAAGCCGGCUUUGAGCAUCACAUCUAUGUGCAAACUGCUCUGGUCAACAUGUAUUCGGUUUGUGGGUGUUUAGUUGAAGCACAACAAGUGUUUGAUGAAAUGCCUGAGAGGAACUCAGUCACCUCGAAUGCCUUGAUCACUGGUUCAACUAAAUGGGGGCAGAUUGGCCUUGCCCGUUCUCUCUUUGACCGGAUGCCAUCUCAAAAUGUUGUUUCGUGGGCUGAUAUCAUUGACGGGUACUCGCAGUUGAACUAACACAAGCAAGCUUUGGCCUUGUUUCGGACAAUGGUUGUGGACAAGGCUAUUAAACCAACUGAAGUAACAAUCCUAGCAAUUUUUCCGUCCACACGGAAUCUUCGGUGUCUCGAGUCUUGCCAAUUAAUUCAUACUUAUGGAGAGAAAAGUGGGUUUAAUGAGUGACAUUCGAGUUACCAAUUCCCUUAUAGAUGCGUAUGCAAAGUGUGGGUGCAUUGAGAGUGCAGUAAAAGUCUUCCAUGGCAUAACUUGUGAAAAGAGGAAUUUGGUGUCGUGGACAUCUAUAAUCUCUGGAUUUGCAAUGCAUGGAAUGGGGAAACAUGCAGCAGAUAGUUUUAAAAGAAUGGAAGAUGAGUGUUUGAUGCCAAAUCGCGUAACGUUCUUGAGUAUUUUAAAUGCUUGCAGUCAUGGAGGAUUGGUUGAAGAGGGGCUUGAGUUUUUUUAGAAAGAUGCUUAGUGAGUGUCAAGUUGUACCCGAAAUUAAGCAUUAUGGGUGCUUAAUAGAUAUGUUGGGGAGGGAAGGUAGUUAGAGGAAGCUGAGAUGAUAGCUUUGCAGAUUCCUACUGAGAUUGCUAAUGUUGUGAUUUGGAGGACAUUGCUAGGAGCCUGUAGCUUCCAUGGUAAUAUUCAGAUUGCAGAGCGAGUUAUGAGGACGAUACUAGAGAUGGAGAGAAGAUAUGGUGGUGAUUAUGUGCUUUUGUCCAAUAUAUAUGCUGGUUUUUGUAGGUUUGUAGAUGCCGAGGGGGUGAGGAGACUGAUGGGUGAAAGUAAUGCAUCUAAAGUUCCCGGAAGAAAAAAGAAAAAAAAAAUCAUCAAUGUCGGGGCAUUGACUUUGUGGGAAUGGUAGUUUAUAAAUCUUUUAUUGUGGAAAUCCCUGUGCCACAAAUCUUUUGGUUUUCAGUCUCUUGAUCAGAGUCUAGGACAGGUGAUUAUUGGAGUCAAUUAUACACCAAACCUUCAAUCUUGUGCAAGAUUUUUACAUGGGAAAUACCCCAAGAAGAUCUUUUGGUAACUGGCUCUUCUUUUUAUUAUUUAAUUUGGUUUUUACUUUAUUUCUGUUAUUUAAUUAUUAUAUAGUAGAGUGUAAAUAACGUGCUUUUAGUUUAUGAUGGUCUACUAAAUUGGCAAGGUUUAGCCCUGUUCAAAUGGCAACUACCUUUCUUCAUUUCUCCUAUGUCUUUUUUUGUUGGUAGUCUCUUUAUGCCACUUUUGGUUUGUCUUACAGUUAUAAGUAGUUCCUUGACAUGGAAAAUUGGAGAUUUCUUCCAAAGACAAAGGAUGUGAUGCUCACAAGCAUUUCAUUUAAGCAGACUAUGAUUUAAAGAGACCCUGGAUGCAAGAAUAUUUAGAUGGUUCUAAAAGGGAUCAGAACCAAGAAACCAAUGAUAUGGAAAAUGCUGAAUUUGACAGUCACUUUCAACCUUGUUGGUUAAGCAGAAGCCAAAGCAACUUCCAUCUACAAUAUAAAAUGAUCAGAAACCCACAUUUUUUUUACUAUGCAAGUCAUUUGUAGUAUGAGUAGCUGUAGUUUUUAUAUGUUCGCCAAUAGGUUGAGUUUUGUAAUUGAUUUUCAGGGUGAUCUGUAGGAUUGUAGUGUGACAUGGGUUUUCUCUUUGUAACAUUGUUGUUCUGAUCAAUUCAAGUGGUGUUCACUUCAUUGUGAUUGAAAAGCAAUAAGAUCUUCCUCUCGUGAUGUAAAUAUUGUACAUGAAAGAUGAAUUAUUUAAAUGGCUAAGCUCACAUAGGGAGAAGUGUGAAAUAGUGUUAAUUCCUUUUCUUGCUGUUUGUCAAUUGCGAUUUAGGCAUCUUUGAAGACUAAAACUUGGAUUGGAUUGUAUGUCCAUAAUACCACAUUCGGUUUUCUACAACAAUAAGUGGAUGAAUUUCAUUUUGCAA